AUGAAAGCCAUGCACGUAGAGAAGAGCCGUUGCGCUGCUGGAAUCCAGCAAACCUCUAGCAAUGCCCACAGAUUAAUGCGCUUUCUGCAAAGCUAUCUGCAGGUGUCAAGCCCAUGCCUGAGCUCUGCAGCAGCAACACCUCGAGUCACAACAUUCCUGUGCCCUGCAAACCUCUGGCACGCCACUCUGCUACAUCUUUCUUGCCUGAGUCUUCCUCUGAGCUCUGUUAUGGCUCUUAGAGGCAGAACAGAAUCCAAAGCAUAAUUGUGCAAAGUUGCAAGAACAGCAUUGAAAACUGCCUGGGGAACAAAAGCUGGAACUGUACGUGGAAGACAGAAUGAAGUCAUCGGCAAUCAUAUACUGAAAGCACCUGGAUUUUAUCAUUCUGACCUGGAGAUACACUCACGUUGGCUCUGGCCAGAAAUCCACCAGUCAGGGAGGGCUGGGCUUCAGGAUCAGUCCCCUGGAUAUUAGGUCUGUGCUGCUGCUCAUUUCAUGUUCGUAUCCCGUGUUAGACACCCUGCGCUGUGCAGAGGCUGCGUUACAUUAUCCUGCUGGUCCCUCCUGCUCCCCCCCCCCACAGCUCGGACCAAAAUUGUCUGCCUUACUUGGAAUUCAUUUCAAAAACAGAUUCAUGUGGUGCCUGCUAUUCCCCAAUAAACAAAUAAAUUAGCUGCUGUGAUAUGGAAAUUUGCAUGAUUCACUGUACUUAAAAACUGUUAGCUGUGAACUUAUUAAUUGAAAACCACAGGACGAUAAUAAGUGU